rnacentral:tRNA from 1 species
CUGAUAGUCGGAAGCCGUUCGGUGCACGUCUACACCGCCGAACCGGCGUCGCUUUCGCUACUCUCC